AUUGAACGCUGGCGGCAUGCUUUACACAUGCAAGUCGAGCGGUAACAGGCCUUCGGGUGCUGACGAGUGGCGAACGGGUGAGUAAUGCAUCGGAACGUGCCCAGAGGUGGGGGAUAACGCAGCGAAAGCUGUGCUAAUACCGCAUGUGAUCUGAGGAUGAACGCGGGGGACCAGGCAGCAAUGUUUGGCCUCGCGCCUUUGGAGCGGCCGAUGUCUGAUUAGUUAGUUGGUGGGGUAAAGGCCUACCAAGCCGACGAUCUGUAGCUGGUCUGAGAGGACGACCAGCCACACUGGGACUGAGACACGGCCCAGACUCCUACGGGAGGCAGCAGUGGGGAAUUUUGGACAAUGGGCGCAAGCCUGAUCCAGCAAUGCCGCGUGCGGGAAGAAGGCCUUCGGGUUGUAAACCGCUUUUGUACGGAACGAAAAGGCUCUGGCUAAUACCUGGGGCUGAUGACGGUACCGUAAGAAUAAGCACCGGCUAACUACGUG
rnacentral:rRNA from 1 species